UACGUAGGGUGCAAGCGUUGUCCGGAAUUAUUGGGCGUAAAGAGCUCGUAGGCGGCUUGUCGCGUCGGCUGUGAAAACCUGGGGCUCAACCCCGGGCCUGCAGCCGAUACGGGCAAGCUAGAAUUCGGUAGGGGAGACUGGAAUUCCUGGUGUAGCGGUGAAAUGCGCAGAUAUCAGGAGGAACACCGGUGGCGAAGGCGGGUCUCUGGGCCGAGAUUGACGCUGAUGCGCGAAAGCCAGGGGAGCAAACGGG
rnacentral:rRNA from 1 species